AAACGACUGAAAACUUGGAAAAGAGCAUACAUGAGUGACGAGAGAUUGUGCGGUCUUGCCAUGCUCCAUGUUCAUCGCGAUAAGGAUAUCAGCAGACCAAAUCACGAUUCUGAAACGAUUUGACUGAACCGGCCAUAGAAAAAUGUGGCAAACUCUACUGAAUCGAUGUUUGUUUUAUGUUCUGGCAGCAGACUCAAAUCAGUGAUAUUUGGAUGAUUAUCUUACAUAUAAAUUUAAAUAAAGUUGUUAAAAAUUUGGUGUUAGUAAAAGUCUUAAAAUAUGAAAAAUUUAUAUAAAAAGUGUACAAAUUCAAAACAUUAUCAAACUCUCUAAAAAUGCCUAGAAUGCAGGAUUUUGCACCAUUCAUUUCAUACCCUCCAAAAAAAAUGUUCGCCUCGCUUUGCACGGCUCAAUUAUUUUGCCUCACUAAAAUAAGAUGCCUAGUUACGGCCUUG
rnacentral:lncRNA from 1 species